rnacentral:rRNA from 1 species
AUUGAACGCUGGCGGCAGGCCUAACACAUGCAAGUCGAGCGGAUGAAGGGAGCUUGCUCCUGGAUUCAGCGGCGGACGGGUGAGUAAUGCCUAGGAAUCUGCCUGGUAGUGGGGGAUAACGUCCGGAAACGGGCGCUAAUACCGCAUACGUCCUGAGGGAGAAAGUGGGGGAUCUUCGGACCUCACGCUAUCAGAUGAGCCUAGGUCGGAUUAGCUAGUUGGUGGGGUAAAGGCCUACCAAGGCGACGAUCCGUAACUGGUCUGAGAGGAUGAUCAGUCACACUGGAACUGAGACACGGUCCAGACUCCUACGGGAGGCAGCAGUGGGGAAUAUUGGACAAUGGGCGAAGGCCUGAUCCAGCCAGGCGGCGGGUGUGAAGAAGGUCUUCGGAUUGUAAAGCACUUUAAGUUGGGAGGAAGGGCAGUAAGUUAAUACCUUGCUGUUUGGACGUUACCAACAGAAUAAGCACCGGCUAACUUCGG